AUGUUCGACACAAAGUGGCUCUGCAAACUCGGCGCCUCGCUCCCUCCCUGCCCGGCCGGUUCCCCGCGCCCUCACGCCCCGACUCGUCCCGGCGCUGGUCCCGGGCUCCCUCCUGCACCGAGGACCGCAGAUCCGCACCUCAGGGCGCCGCCGGCCACACCAAGACCCCCCGGCCCGGUCCCCCCAGCCAGAGGCCGGGCAGAGGACGCACGGUCCCUGCGCCGCACCGGCCGAGUCUUGCCUUCCGCGGGCGCCAUCCGCGCGCUGGGCCCCCCGCGCCCCGGAAGUCUGCGCUCACUUCCCCGCCGCGCCCGCGGGACGCGCGCCCCAGCCUCCGGCCCCCGGCCCCGGCCGCGAGGGGGCCCCGCGCGGAGAGGCAGCCAGAGCGCAGAAUUCGCUGUCCAGCCCAAGCGGCGGGCCCGCCGGGCCCCGGGCCGACUCCACCCGCCCUGCCGCUCCCCACGGCGCCUUCCGGCGACGGCGAGAGGCCGGGGAGGGAGGGGACGGCAGGGACGGCGGGCGAGGGGCGGCGGCGGGACCUGGGCAGCACGACGACGAGGGGAAGUGCCAACAUCGGGGCCCCAAGCGGGGAGCCGACCUCGAGGGCCCCCGGGUCCCCGUGUAACCCGAGCCCGCUCGGCCGCCCGCCCCCGCUGCCGCCGGAGCCACAAGAUCUGCAAAUCAGCCCUGGACAGCGCCUCGCUCCGCGUCCUUCCGCGCCCUCCCCCUCCCGCGGCCGCCCGGCCCGCCGCCCCCACCCGCCCGGCCCUUGGCCCACGCCGCGCUUACCGGCCUUCUUGGGCGAGGAGGGGCGAAGCCCCGGCGGCGCGGCUCCUGCUCCGACUCCUUUUCUUUGUUGCCGGACUUUCGGGGGAGGGGAGGGAGGAAAAGUUGGGCCCGGGGCCGUCGAGGCCCGCCGAGCCCCGAGAGGGGGUCUGCAGAGGCCUCAGGCCUCGGGCUCCCGCCCCGCCGUCCCGGCCACCGCCCCCGCCGCCGGGGUCUGGGGCCCGGGGCCUCGGCGGCGCUCGCUCGGCUCGGGCGCCCGGAGCUCGCGGGAGCCGCACAUUCCAGCACAGGAGGUUGCGCCGCGCGCCCGGCCCGCGCCGC
rnacentral:lncRNA from 1 species